CCGGGUUCAAGCAAUUCUCCUGCCUCAGCCUCCCGAGAAACUGGGAUUACAGGUGCGUACCACCACGCCCAGCUAAUUUUUGUAUUUUUAGUAGAGACGGGGUCUCUCCAUGUUGGUCAGGCUGGUCUCGAACUCCUGACCUCAGGUGAUUUGCCCACCUUGGCCUCCCAAAGUGCUGGGAUUACAGGCAUGAGCAACUGUGCCCAGCCUAUUAUUGUUUUUUGAGAUGGAGUCUCACUCUGUCACUGAGGCUGCAGUGCAGUGGCACGAUCUCAGCUCACUGCAACCUCCACCUCCGAGGUUCAAGUGAGUCUCCUGCCUCAGCCUCCCGAGUAGCUGGGAUUACAGGCACCCGCCACCACGCCCAGCUAAUUUUUGUAUUUUUAGUAAAGAUGAGGUUUCUCCAUGUUGGUCAGGCUGGUCUUGAAUCCCUGACCUCAGGUGAUCCACCUGCCUCAGCCUCCCAAAGUGCUGGGAUUACAGGCGUGAACCACAGUGCCCAGCCUCUUUUUUCUUUUUUAGAAUUUAUUUAUUUUAGAGAGGGUCUCACUCUGUCGCCCAGGCUGAGGGCAGUGGCAUAAUCACGGCUCACUGCAGCCUCGACCUCCCAGGCUCAGGUGAUCCUACCAUCUCAGCCUCUCAAGUAACUGAGACUACAGGUGGGUGCCACCAUGCCCAGCUAAUUUUUUGAUUUUUUGUACAGAUGGGGUCUUACUAUGUUGCCCAGGCUGGUCUCCUGGGCUUAAGUGAUCUGCCCAUCUCGGCUUCUCAAAGUGCUGGGAUUACAGGCGUGAGCCACGGCGCCCAGCCUCCCAAAGUGCUGGGAUUACAGGCACGAGCCACGGUGUCUGGCCACAGUUACUACUUCAGCCAGGCUUUCAACAACAGCCAGCUCAACAUCCACAGUCAUGUUCCCAUGGACAGUUUAAACCUUUGCUAUGAGGAGAUGAAAUGGCACUUUGCUUCUGUGGUCUUGCCUGCAAUGACCCAUAACUCAGUCUAGUCAUGAGCAAAACAUCGGACAAUUUCCAGUAGUGGGAGUACCCUUGAAAAUAAUGGACCACUACCCUCAAAACUGACAAGGUCAUGGAAAACCAGCAACAUCUGAGAAGCUGUGACAGCCAAGACAAACCUAAAGAUACAUGACACCUGCCGGGCACGGUGGCUCACGCCUGGAAUCCCAGCACUUUGGGAGGCCAGGUGCGGUGGCUCAUGCCUGUAAUCCCAGCAUUUUCGGGGGCCGGGCGUGGUGGCUCACGCCAGUAAUCCCAGCACUUUGGGAGGCCAGGCGGGCGGAUCACGAGGUCAGGAGAUCGAGACCAUCCUGGCUAACACAGUGAAACCCCGUCUCUACUAAAAAUACAAAAAAUUAGCAGGGCGUGGUGGCGGGCGCCUGUAGUCCCAGCUACUCGGGAGGCUGAGGCAGGAGAAUGGCGUGAACCCAGGAGGCGGAGCUUGCGGUGAGCCGAGAUCGCGCCACUGCACUCCAGCCUGGGUGACAGAGCAAGACU
rnacentral:lncRNA from 1 species